rnacentral:lncRNA from 1 species
UCUCCUCUUCACACCAUCAUCAGUACCAUCUCAGUUCCCUUCUCUCCUGCCGAGCCUUAAGAUGGUUGUAUCCCCACUGUCGCAUUAGUUAGAUCGGGAAAUAAGGGAACGAUAUUAGCAAUGUUUAUUAAAUGUGGGAACUAUAUUAGCAAUGUUUAUUAAAAGUGUAAGGAAGCAGAUUUAAAACAUGCCCAUGAUGUAUUAAGGUGUCACAGAGGCUGACAGUCCAUGCUCUAGAAGUGUUAUGACUCUGAGCAGUUUUAAUAUGCAUUUAAUGUGGGCAAUACAUCACGGUAGCUACAGAAAUAAACUUUCUUACCAUUACCUUUCUAAUAAAACUAUGAUUUAUUUUUACCCGUAAGCAGUAUAGCCUAUUUUUUAAGAGUGUAAUAUUUGGAGUCAAACUGACUUUAGGUCUGGGUCUCUAGUUGUAUGUGAUCUUUGGCAAAUUCCUUAUGCUUUUGAGAUUUCACUUCCUUGUGACCUGCUGAUAUUGCUGUUUAUACAUGGCAGAGUUCUUGUGAGAAUGGAAUACUUUCCCCCGACACAGAGUGUAGGUGCUCAGGAAACAAUAAGAUUUAGAGACUUAGAAUGUAAGGAAUAUUGGGCUACAGAGUUGUUUAAUGUUUAUGUGGAGACAAGGCCACUGUAAAAUGAAAUGCUAUUACCCAGAUACCCACUAGAGAACCAGAACCCAGUGGGCUGUGUAAGUCAUCAUCUGCCCUGGUAUUCAGUCCAAGCUUUGUUUAUAAUCUUGCUUAGAAAAUGUUUUGUCAGACCCAAAAACGGAAUUGAAAAAAUAAUCUUUGCUUAAGCCUGUCAGCUUGAAGAAGAGCAGAGGAUCAGCGACAGGACCAUGGUCAGUAGAGAGCUGUGCUUGUUAAGUUAUUCAGUCGACAAGCUAGAGCAAGACUGAAGCGCACUGCAAAGUACACAGCAGCAGUGGCGGAGGCAGUGGCACGCCUGAGGCCAAGGGCAAGGGCAAGGGAUUGGAUUCAGAGCUGUGCUGUUUUAACACACACACACACACACACACACACACACACACACACACACCUUUAAUUUAGCAUUUGUCAGCUCAAGGACUUGAAGGCUGAAGUUUGGCCCAUGGCUGACACUAAAGUCUAGCGGCCCAUCAGGGUCAUUUAAUUGUGUGGCUCUCCUCCAUCUUGAUACCCCCAGCAGCUAGCUCUCUGCUACCUUACAGGAGGUGGAGUGGUCAGAGACUAGCACAGCCUGGGCUGGGAAGACUGGAGAAUCCACCGUCCCCUAGGCUCCUUAAAUAAUGUGACUACCAAGCUUACGUUCCACAGACAUGAAACCAGGGAAACCCUCGCUGACAGUUGGCAGGACUGAGUUGUGAUGCAAAGAUCUAGAAAUCCCUCCAGAUCACUAUGAAAAACCCACAGAUCUGCAAGCGCUACCUUUAUACAGUGCCCAGCCCCUCCUGCCUUACCCUUAAAUAUCAAUGGAUUCCCUCUUACCCAAAAGCUGGGCAAUAAACACAUAAAGCAAAGAAAGAUAAACUUUGAAGAAAGGGGCUGGGUGUUGGAGACAGGAGGAACACAUGUUAUAAGGUAAAAACAGGAAAAUAACUCCCUCAGAUUAGAAAGGCAAGAAAAAUUCUAUGAUGAAACAAAACUAUAUCCCUAAUUAACUUAGGAAUCUUCAAAAUAUGAGCUAGACCUCUUGGAGGCAGAAUCUGUAGGUAGAAAUAAAAAUUCAGUGGAAGGGAAGAGACAUUAAACAUCCUAGAACCAGCACACAUAUGCACACUGCACACGCUUGAAAUAACAAAAAGAAAGCCAGGCAUGGUGGCGCUCCUCUAAUCCCAGCACUCAGAAGGCAGAGGUAGGCCUGUCUCUGAGUUUGAGGACAGCCAGAUCAAAAAGAAAAAGAGGGUUGGUGAGGAGAGAAGAAAAG